GAUGAAGAACGUAGCGAAAUGCGAUACGUAAUGUGAAUUGCAGAAUUCAGUGAAUCAUCGAAUCUUUGAACGCAUAUUGCGCUCUCUGGUAUUCCGGAGAGCAUGCUUGUUUGAGUAUCAGUAAACACCUCAACUCCCCUUUCUUUUUUUGAAAUGGGAGCUGGACUUGAGUGAUCCCAACGCUUUUCUCACCGAAAAGUGGCGGGUUACUUGAAAUGCAGGUGCAGCUGGACUUUUCUCUGAGCUAAAAGCAUAUCUAUUUAGUCUGCCUAAAAAACAGAUUAUUACCUUUGCUGCAGCUAACAUAAAGGAGAUUAGUUCUUGUGCUGACUGAUGCAGGAUUCACAGAGACAGCUUCGGCUGGCCUUUGUAAACUCGAUCUCAAAUCAAGUAAGACUACCCGCUGAGCUUAAGCAUAUCAAUAAGCGGAGGA
rnacentral:misc_RNA from 1 species